rnacentral:rRNA from 1 species
AACGCUGGCGGCGUGCCUAACACAUGCAAGGUCGAACGGAGUAAUUAAGCGGAAGUUUUCGGGAUGGAAGCAUAGUUACUUAGUGGCGACGGGUGAGUAACGCGUGGGCAACCCUGACCCUGUAACCGGGGGAUAACACUUAGAAAUAGGUGCUAAUACCGCAUAAGCGCACAGCUUCGCAUGAAGGUGUGUGAAAAACUCCGGUGGUACAGGAUGGACCCGCGUCUGAUUAGCUAGUUGGUGGGGUAGAGGCCUACCAAGGCGACGAUCAGUAGCCGGCCUGAGAGGGUGACCGGCCACAUUGGGACUGAGACACGGCCCAAACUCCUACGGGAGGCAGCAGUGGGGAAUAUUGCACAAUGGGGGAAACCCUGAUGCCAGCGACGCCGCGUGAGUGAAGAAGUAUUUCGGUAUGUAAAGCUCUAUCAGCAGGGAAGAAAAUGACGGUACCUGACUAAGAAGCCCCGGCUAACUACGUGCCAGCCGCGGC